CCUACGGGUGGCAGCAGUGGGGAAUAUUGCACAAUGGGGGAAACCCUGAUGCAGCAACGCCGCGUGAAGGAAGACGGUUUUCGGAUUGUAAACUUCUGUUCUUAGUGAAGAAUAAUGACGGUAGCUAAGGAGCAAGCCACGGCUAACUACGUGCCAGCAGCCGCGGUAAUACGGAGGAUGCGAGCGUUAUCCGGAUUUAUUGGGUUUAAAGGGUGCGUAGGCGGAUCGUUAAGUCAGUGGUCAAAUUGAGGGGCUCAACCCCUUCCCGCCAUUGAAACUGGCGCUCUUGAGUGGAAGAGAAGUAUGCGGAAUGCGUGGUGUAGCGGUGAAAUGCAUAGAUAUCACGCAGAACCCCGAUUGCGAAGGCAGCAUGCCGGCUUCCGACUGACGCUGAAGCACGAAAGCGUGGGGAUCGAACAGGAUUAGAUACCCCGGUAGUC
rnacentral:rRNA from 1 species